GGGGAAGCUGUGAUGGCAAUGAGAAGUCAACACACUGAGGAUGGAGAGAAAGAAGAUGAGUCUGGGAGAGAAAGAGAAUGAUUCUUCUGGCCGAGGGAAAGCAAGAAUAUCUGUUCCUGCAACUGCACUGAUUCUAGAAACACUCUCUAUUCGAACUCUCAUGAGGUGCUGACCUGCUUGGUGAAUGCUGGGAUCUCUGGAAGAGGGAGGCAGACAUCACACACCAGCUGGCAAGUGGGAGCUGGCAUGCAACAUGCCCCAAUACCACUCCCCUCCUGCCAUCCCUAUCUCCUAAUGGUGCCUCCUUUUGGCCAAACCCACCUUUGGCUGGAGGGCAACAGAGCCCAUUGACGUGGUCCCCUUGCAUCUGCUACCUGGGGAGAAAAGCAGGAUGGACACUGAAUCUAGAGAAAUGAAGAAACCCAUCCAGAAGAAUACUGCUUCUUUAUGUUUUUGUAGGUGUACAAAUCAGGCCUCCCCAUGAUAUUCUAAACUCCUUGAGGAAAGAAGUGGAGUCCUGGGCUUCUGAUGUAGCCUCCACAGUGCUCAGGGGAUAGCGACACUGGCACCCUAUAGAUAUUUAAUUACAUGUGGACUGGAAGAGACCAAACAGCUUCCUGAGCGGCCCAGCCCUUGGAAUGUGUUUCUGCCACGACAAGGAAUACAGGAGGAGUUGAACAGGAAACCUGCCUCCUAUCAGAUUCACCUGAGGACGUGGGUUGUCACGAGCUCCCCAAACAAUAAAGCACUUUACGACAUAGGAGGCAUUAUUAUUAAGCUGUUUUCAGUCCCUGAUACCUGCAUGUUGUAGGACCAUGGUGCAUGAAGGAUUUUAAGGAGGCACUUUUGAAAUGUGAAAGGGACAUAGACUGUACAUCUGGAGCACAAAGGCAGGUUUAACCAGCUUUGUCCUGCUCGGCGCCAGUUGGAAGAGAGCAUCUGGCUUUGAAGUGUCUAAAGCCAGGCGUGACGCUGGAUUCUACAGCUGGGUUUUGCUUUGUCACCCAGGCUGGAGUGCAGUGCCAUGAUGGAGCUCAGUGCAGCCUUCAAUCCCUGGGCUCAAGGAAUCCUCUCACCUCAGCCUCCCAAAUAGCUAGGACUACAGGUACACACUACCACACCUAGCUAACUUUAAACUUUUUUUGUAGAGAUGGGGCCUUGCUCUGUUGCCCAGGCUGGUCUUGAACUUGCUGCCUCAAAGGAUUCCCCUGCAUUGGACUCCCAAAGCGCUGGGAAUACAGGCAUGAGCCACCAUGCCCAGCCUACCUCAUUUGUUGAUAGCACUGAUUCCUAACAGGGUUAUUUUCAUUCCUGGCUUAAAAAAAAUAACUUACCCUAUUUGCACACUGGAAUGGAAGUAAUGCAUUCAGUAAUUUCAGAACCUGAGUGUUGGCUGACAUCAAGCAACUGAGAUACACUGCAGCUGCUGUUGGAGAAGGAGGCUGGAGGCUGACUCAUGUUAUGUUGGCUGGCAGGAGUUUGAGACCAGCCUGGGUGGCAUAGCGAUAUCCCUGUCCUGUCUCUAGAAAACUAAAAACAUUUUAAAAAAUACUGGCUGGAUUUUCUAGCCUGCCAGACUAAUCUUCUUGAAAGAUUUAGACAUAAAUAAUUUAUUUUAGCCUUUGUCAUUAUUACUGUUAUGAUAGUAAAAUAAUGAAUCUUUUAAGUAUUUUUUGAAUGCUCAAGGUAUAUCUCUGAAAGAGUACCAACCAAAUGCUGAUAUUAGGGAUUAAAUCCAGUUUUGAGAGAGACAGCAAUUCAUUCAAACUUGUUGCAUGCAGGAUCCUAUGUCAAAGUGUAUAUGAGAGGGCACUCCGCUGGGUGGCGGCUGCUGUGGUUUGAAUCAUAUGCCUUAGUAUUGGUAUUUGACAAUAAGAGUUGUCAACCUGAAUUUCUAGUUGGAUGUAUAGCCAAGAAAAUAAGAAGUUCUGAGGGAGCGGGGAACUUUGAGGGGUGGAGUGGUCCCUCCAUGUACCCCUAUAUUACAGAUUGCAGGUUCAUACUGAGGAUUUUACCUUGAGCUUCUGGGCUCCACAGAACACUUGCGUGUUUCCAUAAGGGCCUAGAAGAAGUGUCUUCUAUUCCCAUGGACACAAUGCCAGAAUGUGAUUCCCUGGUUUUAUUUUAAGCUCUUUCUUCCACCCAGAAACACAACCCACCACCCCUGAGAAAAGAUGGGAAAUAAGUGGAUUAAACCAAACAUUCAGAAGCUGCUCAAUACAUUUCCUUGUGCGCUAAAGAGGAGGUACAGUGCUGGGGUCAAGAAAGCAGGGAAGGAGUCAGGGCAUGGGCACCCAAACCACUUAUUGGCCAUGUGUUCUGAGACAGGCUUCCUUCCUGGGCCCUGUCUAAAAACAAUGGGCAUAAUGACAACACCUACCUUAUAUGGUUAUUGAGAAGAAGAGGAGUUAACGUAUGUAAAGGGCAUGAACAGGUGUUCGGCUUAUAUAUGGUAAGUGGUCAGUAAGUGUAGUUUUUCUCUCAAAGACAGUUCUCCAGGCAGAGCAAGUGAGGAGGCCUUUUUUCCACCCCUCAGCCGUUCAGAACUGGAAAGCAGUUGUAUUUGCCCAUGCAUGGAGAUACUUCAGCUUUCCCAGAACUGAGCCCAUUUGCUAACACUACCUUUUCCCUAAGCUUCCCCUUGAGUACCCCUCUCUCCAUCCAGCUGUGAAGCUCUGAAAUGAACUAGAUCCCCAAAUGGCUGGUGGAAGCUGUUGGAAUAGAGGUGUUAGAGGAGAAGGCAGAGAAAUGUGACAGGAAUCCAGCAGGAUGUAGGAGUAGCCUGAAUAUGCAAGGGAAAACCUUGAGGUCUUGGCCAGUUUACUGUUUCUAGGGCUAAAUGUACCACAUCAAAGAAGGGAAAGGGAAGUUGUUCACCCAAGAUCUUCAGUUUUCUUCCCCAUGGCCUCAUUAUAGUGCCUUGUUUCUCUCUUGGGACUUCUGUUUUCUCUGCCUUGUAUUGUCAUUGUGUUCUUAAUGUUAACAUUUUUUCUACAAUUGCAGUCUUAAUGGAGAAUAUGUUAAAGAACAUGUAGAGAUACUAAGAUCAGACAAAUUUCUCCAAUUUCCUUGUGCUUAAAAAAUGUGUUAAGUGUUUACUAUCUCUUCUUUCUAUUGCCUUCGAAAGAGAAAGACACAUUUGUUGGGCAAGGCAUUGAUGUGCUUCCAGGGGUAGUGGGGUGAGAAGUCUAGUGGAAGGAGGUAGUUUUGGUGGGUGAAGGAGGUAGUUUUGGUGGGCAAAGGAGGUGGAGUGAGAGAGAGGAAAGGUGAGGUAAGAAAGAGAACUUGCAAAAGUUGAAGCUUUUACAAAGCAGGGAGGAGAUGAACUUGUAUCAGCUGUGGUGAUGUGGCUUUGGGCGAGAUGCGGAAAGAGACGAGAAAAGAACUUCAAAGGAAGGUAUUGUUAUGCAUUGGGUAGUGCGGGUCUCUCUUCACUUUGUCCUCCCUUUUAAAAUGAAAAGGUCUUCAUUAAAGA
rnacentral:lncRNA from 1 species